AUCAUUAACUGAAUCCAUAGGUUAAUGAGGCGAACCGGGGGAACUGAAACAUCUAAGUACCCCGAGGAAAAGAAAUCAACCGAGAUUCCCCCAGUAGCGGCGAGCGAACGGGGAGGAGCCCAGAGCCUGAAUCAGCAUGUGUGUUAGUGGAAGCGUCUGGAAAGGCGCGCGAUACAGGGUGACAGCCCCGUACACAAAAGCGCAUGUGCUGUGAGCUCGAUGAGUAGGGCGGGACACGUGGUAUCCUGUCUGAAUAUGGGGGGACCAUCCUCCAAGGCUAAAUACUCCUGACUGACCGAUAGUGAACCAGUACCGUGAGGGAAAGGCGAAAAGAACCCCGGCGAGGGGAGUGAAAAAGAACCUGAAACCGUGUACGUACAAGCAGUGGGAGCCCCACCACCAAAGCAUUUGCUGUACCGCGUUGACGGAGCGAAGCGACGUCAAACCGAUAAAACAGCAGUGUAAAGUGAGCCGCAGGGCGCUUUGCGCGACAGCGCAAAGGCAGGCGGUUUCGCGUAGCGAAAGCGAAUGCUUUGGGGUGGGGUGACUGCGUACCUUUUGUAUAAUGGGUCAGCGACUUAUAUUCUGUAGCAAGGUUAACCGAAUAG
rnacentral:rRNA from 1 species